ensembl:lncRNA
UGGGCUACCACCUGAGCCAAAGGAACGCCGCAGGGGGACACCUCGUACCCAGUCCACCUCCCCUCCCCUGUCCUCCUGCCCACGGUUACCUCUGCUCCACCGGAUGCAACGUGGGAAACCGGACGGAAAACAGUGGGAGUUUGUGGGCAAAGAUGAAGUAGGCGAAGCAUUUCUGGUCCUUGCCUAUCAUUCACCCUCAUCACUGGUGCUUUUGCUGUCUUCGCCUUUGGCACGUGCUUGUCACCCAGACAAGGAAACGCAGGGAGAAGAUGUAAGUUUUCCAGAGCCAACAAGAACACAAAGGCUUUUUUUUAAUUUAUUUAUUCUCAAGUGAAACCGAAUCUAAUUUGAGCAAGAGAUGCAUUUAUGUGUCAAAGAAUGACACAGUAGUACCGUGAGACUUGGUAACAAACCACCCAAAAGGAGAGCGAGCUGGAGAAAGAGAGAAUUCAGAGAAGACACAGUUUCUCCGGUAGCUUAUUUAACAAAGGAGGACAAAGACAAUACUACACUCCAUUCAACAUGCAAACAGACUGACCUCAAAUGCAUUGUGGAACUUCAAGA